rnacentral:rRNA from 1 species
AUUGAACGCUGGCGGUAUGCUUAACACAUGCAAGUCGAACGGUAACAGGCUUUCGGGCGCUGACGAGUGGCGGACGGGUGAGUAACGCGUAGGAAUCUGCCUUAUAGUGGGGGACAACGUGGGGAAACCCACGCUAAUACCGCAUACGCCCUACGGGGAAAGCGGGGAUCUUAGGACCUCGCGCUAUGAGAUGAGCCUGCGUUAGAUUAGCUAGUUGGUAGGGUAAAGGCCUACCAAGGCGACGAUCUAUAGCUGGUCUGAGAGGACGAUCAGCCACACUGGGACUGAGACACGGCCCAGACUCCUACGGGAGGCAGCAGUGGGGAAUAUUGGACAAUGGGCGCAAGCCUGAUCCAGCAAUACCGCGUGUGUGAAGAAGGUCUUCGGAUUGUAAAACCCUGUCGUCGGGGACGAAGGUAGGGGGUUAAUAGCCUUUGCUUGACGGUACCCGGAGAGGAAGCCCGGCUAACUCUGUGCCAGCAGCCGCGGUAAU